GGAGCAGUUGAUAGCUCAGUGGUAGAGUGCAUGCUUAGUGUGUAUGAUCUCCAAGGGUUCAAUCCCCAGCUUCUCCC